GACGAACGCUGGCGGCGUGCUUAACACAUGCAAGUCGAACGGAAAGGCCUCUUUCGGGGGGUACUCGAGUGGCGAACGGGUGAGUAACACGUGAGUAACCUGCCCUUGACUUUGGGAUAACUUCCGGAAACUGGGGCUAAUACCGGAUAGGAGCUCCUGCUGCAUGGUGGGGUUUGGAAAGUUUCGGCGGUUGGGGAUGGACUCGCGGCUUAUCAGCUUGUUGGUGGGGUAGUGGCUUACCAAGGCUUUGACGGGUAGCCGGCCUGAGAGGGUGACCGGCCACAUUGGGACUGAGAUACGGCCCAGACUCCUACGGGAGGCAGCAGUGGGGAAUAUUGCACAAUGGGUGGAAGCCUGAUGCAGCAACGCCGUGUGCGGGAUGACGGCCUUCGGGUUGUAAACCGCUUUCGCUCAUGACGAAGCUUUGUGUGACGGUAGUGGGUAAAGAAGCACCGGCUAACUACGUG
rnacentral:rRNA from 1 species